GGGGGUGAUCGGUUUCGACGGUGGUCGCCGAUCCAGGGGAAGCGGGCCGAGGACGCACGGUUAUCUCGUUAACGAUCCGCGCAAACCCAUAGGUGCCAAUACAUCGCGCACCGACUUCGCCCUCGCCGCCUGAGCGAGCUGUGAAGUCCGUCAGCCCGAGCUAGCUUCCGACUCGGUUCCUGGCGUCAUCUAGGGAGCCACUGCUCACAGCGUUCGUCAGUGACGUUGUGGGGACUUUCAGCUGACUGAGCCUGUCCACGACUUGUCUGCGUGAUCGUGGGGGCUGAGAAAAGCGCAGCAGAAUGCGCCCGGAGAAGCCCUGGUUCUGUGUCAUCGGACGCGGGUUCGAUUCCCGCCACCUCCACCA
rfam:Cellulomonas sp. 73-145 SCNpilot_cont_500_bf_scaffold_5, whole genome shotgun sequence.